GCCAUUUGAACAAGUGUAGAGGCCCAAGAGAAGAUCAUCAAGACCAAGACAGUCCACAGCGGAGGUUUGAGGCAAGUACGGUGAAGCAGGAGCAACAGGAAGUGGAUGUUUGGAUUGGUCGAGACGACAGUGAAGCAGGAAGCCAGUGUGGCGAAGCCGUGAGCCUAAUCAGGGAUGCUCUCAAAACUGCUUCCCC